GAGUUUGAUCAUGGCUCAGAUUGAACGCUGGCGGCAUGCCUAACACAUGCAAGUCGAACGGCAGCACUGGGAGCUUGCUCCCUGGUGGCGAGUGGCGGACGGGUGAGUAACGCGUAGGAAUCUGCCUCAUAGCGGGGGGACAACUCGGGGAAACUCGAGCUAAUACCGCAUACUACUCGAGAGAGGAAAGCAGGGGGACCUUCGGGGCCUUGCACUAUGAGAUGAGCCUGCGUUGGAUUAGCUAGUUGGUAGGGUAAAGGCCUACCAAGGCGACGAUCCAUAACUGGUUUGAGAGGAUGACCAGUCACACUGGGACUGAGACACGGCCCAGACUCCUACGGGAGGCAGCAGUGGGGAAUAUUGGACAAUGGGGGAAACCCUGAUCCAGCAAUGCCGCGUGUGUGAAGAGGCCUGA
rnacentral:rRNA from 1 species